UUUAGUCUUGAAACAUUCGUGGAAGUCCAGGAAAGGUUUAUUUUAGGAGGAAAGUAAUACAAAGUUUACCAGGUCAUCAAUAUUUUUUUGAUAUAUUUUU